AGGAGGAGGAGGAGGGGAAGACACACCGGCAACGGCUCCACGCCCCCGGGGGAGGUCCGUUGUUGGGGGGGGAGGGAUGGAAGCAGAGUGGAGCUGCCGCCUGGUGAGCGUUAUCCGCACUGCAGCGCUAACAAAGGCGGUGCCGAUAAGCAAAGCUGGUGUAUAUUUUCGUAACAAACCCAGAAGGAAUAUAUUUUUAGCUGCCUCCCUAUAUGGAACUGAGAUGGAUGGGGCAAAACAACACAGGAUGCCUCCCCCUGCUAUGUAGGAUUAUUAAAUCCAACAAUGGCAAAGGCUGCGGCCUUUCAUUCUGGGACUGACUCACCUUGUGAUGUAAGAGGGACAAGCUCAACAUCACCAGGGCAACCACUGGGCUUCUCAAAGAGGACUGAUGUCAUAAAGCCAAAUGCUGGGGGGACGGCGUGGAAUCUCUCAAAGAAGUGGGAGAAACUACAACACAGUCACAGGACUAGCUGGAGCGAUACAGGUGACUGUUGCCCAACAGCAUCCCACACAUCUCAGCUCCAAAAGCCGUGUUUGGGACCAACACCACUGCUUGGGUUGAGCUGUUCCUUGGGUCAGCCUCCCUAAAGGUUCACUUCUCCAUUUGACUACUCUAUUGACCAUGAGUUGUUCCCAUUAAAAUAUUAUGGAAAA